AUGGCGAGCUUCGCGAGGCAGGAGCACCAGUUCCUCGCCGAGCUCGGCCUCGCGCCGCGCAACCCGGGCUCCUUCGCCUGCGGCGCCUGGGGCGGCUCGGGCCCCGUCGUCACCACCACCAACCCUAGCAACAACGAGGUCAUUGCUGAGGUCGUUGAGGCGUCCAUGGACGACUACGAGAAGGGCAUGAGCGCCUGCUUCGACGCCGCCAAGACCUGGAUGGCUAUUCCGGCACCAAAGCGAGGAGAAAUUGUUAGGCAGAUUGGUGAUGCACUGAGAGCAAAGCUUCAUCACCUUGGCAGACUUCUCUCACUCGAGAUGGGGAAAAUUCUCCCUGAAGGAAUUGGGGAGGUUCAGGAAAUUAUUGACAUGUGUGAUUAUGCUGUGGGGCUAAGUCGUCAGCUAAAUGGAUCCAUCAUACCAUCUGAACGCCCAAACCAUAUGAUGAUGGAGGUCUGGAAUCCUCUUGGAGUUGUUGGUGUCAUCACAGCAUUCAAUUUUCCUUGCGCCGUGCUGGGUUGGAAUGCUUGCAUUGCUUUGGUCUGCGGCAACUGUGUUGUCUGGAAGGGUGCUCCAACUACUCCAUUGAUCACUAUUGCAAUGACUAAAAUAGUGGCUAGUGUAUUUGAGAAGAACAACCUGCCAAGUGCAAUCUUCACAGCUUUUUGUGGGGGUGCUGAAAUUGGCCAAGCAAUUGCUCUUGACACAAGGAUACCUUUGGUUUCAUUCACAGGAAGUACAAAGGUUGGUCAAAUGGUUCAGCAACAGGUUAGCGCGAGAUUUGGCAAAUGCCUUCUUGAACUUAGUGGGAACAAUGCCAUUAUUGUCAUGGAUGAUGCAGACAUUCCACUAGCUGUGCGUUCUGUUUUGUUUGCUGCUGUUGGCACAGCAGGACAACGAUGCACUACAUGUCGUAGGCUGCUUCUUCAUGAAAGCAUAUAUCAAACAUUUCUUGAUCAACUUGUUGAGGUUUAUAAACAAGUCCGUAUUGGGGAUCCUAUGGAAAAGGGCACCUUGCUGGGACCACUGCACACUACUGCAUCGAAAGAAAGCUUUUUGAAAGGCAUCCAAAAUAUCAGAUCCCAGGGAGGAAAAAUCCUUCUAGGGGGAUCUGCUAUUGAAUCAGAAGGGAACUUUGUUCAACCAACAAUUGUGGAAAUCUCACCUGCUGCGCCAGUUGUGAGGGAAGAAUUGUUUGGUCCUGUCCUUUAUGCCAUGAAAUUUCAGACUCUGAAGGAAGCAAUUGAAAUCAACAAUUCUGUUCCUCAAGGAUUGAGCAGUUCUAUAUUUACAAGGAAACCAGAUGCUAUUUUCAAGUGGAUCGGGCCUCAUGGUAGUGAUUGUGGUAUAGUGAAUGUAAAUAUACCCACUAAUGGUGCUGAAAUUGGCGGAGCUUUUGGUGGAGAAAAAGCAACCGGUGGUGGACGAGAAGCAGGAAGUGAUUCCUGGAAGCAGUACAUGAGGAGGGCCACUUGUACAAUCAACUAUGGAAGCGAGCUGCCUCUAGCACAGGGGAUAAACUUCGGCUAG
rnacentral:rRNA from 1 species